AAGACUAUAGACCUGCGGAGUACCUGCGGAAGGAUCAUUACUGAGUUUCACAACUCUCUAACCCUGUGUGAACUGAAGUCUGGUUGCUCAGGCAGGCGGCCCCCGGGGGGAGCCGCAGCUUCUCUGAAGCGCCUGCCGGAGGAUACCUAAACUCGUUUUAACAUAUAAUCUUCUGAGUAAUAAAAAAAAAUGAAUCAAAACUUUCAACAAUGGAUCUCU
rnacentral:misc_RNA from 1 species